rnacentral:rRNA from 1 species
GAUUUGAUCCUGGCUCAGAGCGAACGCUGGCGGCAGGCUUAACACAUGCAAGUCGAGCGGGCCUUUCGGGGUCAGCGGCGGACGGGUUAGUAACGCGUGGGAACGUGCCUUUCGCUGCGGAAUAGCUCCGGGAAACUGGGGGUAAUACCGCAUACGCCCUUUGGGGGAAAGAUUGAUCGGCGAGAGAUCGGCCCGCGUCUGAUUAGGUAGUUGGUGGGGUAAUGGCUCACCAAGCCGACGAUCGGUAGCUGGUUUGAGAGGAUGAUCAGCAACACUGGGACUGAGACACGGCCCAGACUCCUACGGGAGGCAGCAGUGGGGAAUCUUAGACAAUGGGCGCAAGCCUGAUCUAGCCAUGCCGCGUGGGUGAUGAAGGCCUUAGGGUCGUAAAGCCCUUUCGCCGGGGAAGAUAAUGACGGUACCCGGUAAAGAAACCCCGGCUAACUCCGUGCCAGCAGCCGCGGUAAUACGGAGGGGGUUAGCGUUGUUCGGAAUGACUGGGCGUAAAGCGCGCGUAGGCGGAUCGUCAAGUCGGGGGUGAAAUCCCGGGGCUCAACCCCGGAAUGGCCUUCGAGACUGGCGGUCUUGAGUUCGAGAGAGGUGGGUGGAAUUCCGAGUGUAGAGGUGAAAUUCGUAGAUAUUCGGAGGAACACCAGUGGCGAAGGCGGACCACUGGCUCGACACUGACGCUGA